AGAGCCCCGAGUGCCACAUCCAGGCUUUCCAUGGACAUCUCCAGAGGAAACCACAGCUGAGUUUGGGCAGAAAUGGAACUCGAGUUUUAUUCUGAAGGUGAUCCCUGGAACCUGAAUUUCAGCUCCUUAUCUGAGAGUCUCAACCCUUGAGGACAGUGGCUGAGCAAAAAUCUCAUUGCCAGCAGCUCCUGUUGUAACUGUCUGACUAUUUUAGCAAUUCCAGCACGAGUUAUUGGGUUAGAUGAAGGCACCAAGAAAUAAAAUCCCAAUCUGUGGCACAGGAGAAAUGUUCACAAUAUUUCUGAUGGCCC